UACGAAGGGGGCUAGCGUUGUUCGGAAUUACUGGGCGUAAAGCGCACGUAGGCGGACAUUUAAGUCAGGGGUGAAAUCCCAGAGCUCAACUCUGGAACUGCCUUUGAUACUGGGUGUCUUGAGUAUGGAAGAGGUGAGUGGAAUUCCGAGUGUAGAGGUGAAAUUCGUAGAUAUCGGGAGGAACACCAGUGGCGAAGGCGGCGAUCUGGGAAGAUACUGACGCUGAGGUGCGAAAGCGUGGGGAGCAAACAGG
rnacentral:rRNA from 1 species